AGGACGAACGCUUGCGACGUGCCUAAGAAAUGCAAGUCGAACGGGGUCAUCCUUCGGGGUGGCCUAGUGGCGAACGGUCGCGUAACACGUGGGCAACCUGCCCUGAAGCGGGGGACAACACACCGAAAGGUGUGCUAAUACCGCAUGUGAAUCGUGGUGGCAUCACCGAGGAUUCAAAGCCGCAAGGCACUUCAGGAUGGGCCCGCGGCCUAUCAGCUAGUUGGUGAGGUAACGGCCCACCAAGGCUUCGACGGGUAGCUGGUCUGAGAGGACGAUCAGCCGGAUUGGGACUGAGAUACGGCCCAGACUCCUACGGGGGGCAGCAAUUAGGAAUCUUGCGCAAUGGGCGAAAGCCUGACGCAGCGACGUCGCGUGAAGGAUGAAAUCUUUCGGGAUGUAAACUUCUUUUUCGGGGAAGAACAAUGACGGUACCCGAAGAAUAAGCCCGGCUAACUACGCGCCAGCAGCCGC
rnacentral:rRNA from 1 species